rnacentral:rRNA from 1 species
CGGGCGGACGGGUGAGUAACGCGUGGGUAACCUGCCUCAUACAGGGGGAUAACGGUUAGAAAUGACUGCUAAUACCGCAUAAGCGCACAGUACCGCAUGGUACGGUGUGAAAAACUCCGGUGGUAUGAGAUGGACCCGCGUCUGAUUAGCUAGUUGGUGAGGUAACGGCCCACCAAGGCGACGAUCAGUAGCCGACCUGAGAGGGUGACCGGCCACAUUGGGACUGAGACACGGCCCAG